AGUGAACGCUGGCGGUAGGCCUAACACAUGCAAGUCGAACGGCAGCACAGUAAGAGCUUGCUCUUACGGGUGGCGAGUGGCGGACGGGUGAGGAAUACAUCGGAAUCUACUUUUUCGUGGGGGAUAACGUAGGGAAACUUACGCUAAUACCGCAUACGACCUACGGGUGAAAGCAGGGGAUCUUCGGACCUUGCGCGAUUGAAUGAGCCGAUGUCGGAUUAGCUAGUUGGCGGGGUAAAGGCCCACCAAGGCGACGAUCCGUAGCUGGUCUGAGUGGAUGAUCAGCCACACUGGAACUGAGACACGGUCCAGACUCCUACGGGAGGCAGCAGUGGGGAAUAUUGGACAAUGGGCGCAAGCCUGAUCCAGCCAUACCGCGUGGGUGAAGAAGGCCUUCGGGUUGUAAAGCCCUUUUGUUGGGAAAGAAAAGCAGCAGGUUAAUACCCCGCUGUUCUGACGGUACCCAAAGAAUAAGCACCGGCUAACUUCGU
rnacentral:rRNA from 1 species